rnacentral:rRNA from 1 species
GAUCAUGGCUCAGGAUGAACGCUAGCUACAGGCUUAACACAUGCAAGUCGAGGGGCAGCAUGAACUUAGCUUGCUAAGUUUGAUGGCGACCGGCGCACGGGUGAGUAACACGUAUCCAACCUGCCGAUGACUCGGGGAUAGCCUUUCGAAAGAAAGAUUAAUACCCGAUGGCAUAGUUCUUCCGCAUGGUAGAACCAUUAAAGAAUUUCGGUCAUCGAUGGGGAUGCGUUCUAUUAGG